GACGAACCGUGCGAACGUUGUUCGGAAUCACUGGGCGUAAAGGGCGCGUAGGCGGGAUGGCAAGUCGGUCGUGAAAUCCUUCGGCUCAACCGAAGAACGUCGGCCGAUACUGCCGUUCUUGAGGGAUGCAGAGGAGAUUGGAAUUCCCGGUGUAGCGGUGAAAUGUGUAGAGAUCGGGAGGAACACCGGUGGCGAAGGCGGGUCUCUGGGCAUCUCCUGACGCUGAGGCGCGAAAGCGUGGGGAGCAAACGGG
rnacentral:rRNA from 1 species